GCAGAAACAUUAUGAAAAUCAAUUGCAGAUUUGUAUUCGUUUUUCUCUCGUCACUCCCCUUCUCUCCAUACCACAGCACGAGCAAAGGAGGAGAGAGAGGGUUGGGGUGGGGUGGGCGGUGGGAUGGGCGAGGGUGGUGGCUGGGAAGGGGUAAUUGUAUUUUUUUCUAGCUGCUGCUCUUUUUUCCCCCAGGAUUGGGGGAAGGAGGAGGGCUCUCAUGUAUGGGGGUCUUGCCUCCUCUCUGUGAGCAGCACCAGGAGGGUGGGAGUGAGGACUUCUUUCCCCACUGCCUGAUUUCCCCAGAGAAGUGAAUCCUUUCCCUUAAAUCUCAGGGACUCUUACCCUUCCAACCCGCAGAGACACCGCCUGUUCACAAGAGUUUGAAGAAGUCCACUCUUUUCCUGGCCAGAGCUGGGUGUCAAGACUACCUUUCUGGAGUCCUUAGAGAGACUCCCGGAAGAGUAUCUGAAGUUUCCCAAAGCCUCCAGGCCCUGCCUUCUGCCUGCACAUUCUGCCCUGAUUUCCGGAACCUGGAAGCCUAGGCAGGCAGUGGGGAACUCUGACUCGCCUGUGCUCUGGAGCUUGAUCCGAAAGCUUCCACAGUGAGGACUGCUCCGUGGGGGUAAGAGAGCACCAGGCACUGAGGCCUGGGAGUUCCACAGACCAACACCCCUGCUCCUGGCGGCUCCCACCCGGGACUUAGACCCUCAGGUCCCUAAUAUCCCGGAGGUGCUCUCAAUCAGAAAG
rnacentral:lncRNA from 1 species